rnacentral:rRNA from 1 species
GUGGGCCCUAGAAAUCCUUUCUUGCGGAGGGAUUCAGUCGGGACGGUUGCGGGAGCGGAUUCGCGGAGGCCGGACCCCCCCAGAAGGGCCGGCGCCGCGUCCGCAGUUCCCGUCCAGCCCGACGCAUUUCCCCCCGCACCGAGGACGCCGCGACCGAUCGGGAGUCGGCCUUAGGGCGGACGCUAGGAGGUGGCCGGUGGCGAGACGCUCGUCGUCCCGCCGUCGGUUUUUAACGGCGACCGCGCGCGGCGCGACGCCCGAUCGAGGUCCUCGGGGCGGAAGUUUCCCUCGGGAGAUUUUCGCCCCACCACGUCUCCUUGCCUUCGUGCAGCGGAGCAUCGGGCCUGUGUGCACCGUCGCUGAUCGAACCACUCCCCGUAGUGGCCGGUUCGGCGGGUUUUGCCGUCGCAGGGUCCGAGCGACCGCGGAGGGAAUGACGACUGGUCGGCGGCGAGUAGGUCGGUCACCCACCCGACCCGUCUUGAAACACGGACCAAGGAGUCUAACAUGUGCGCGAGUCGCAGGGUCUUGUUCAGGCCCUCGGGCGCAAUGAAAGUGAGGAGCUCCUCUUCCUCCCUCGGGAGGAAGAGGGCCGAGUUGGGAUUCCCCCCCUCCACGGGGGCGGGAAGCACCAACGACCCGUCCACCCCGAUCAGUCGGAAGGGCGGAGUCAGAGCGCACACGUUGGGACCCGAAAGAUGGUGAACUAUGCCUGGGCAGAACGAAGCCAGAGGAAACUCUGGUGGAGGUUCGUAGCGGUUCUGACAUGCAAAUCGAUCGUCAGACACGGG